CAGCCGCCGCGGUAAUACGGAGGGGGCUAGCGUUGUUCGGAACUACUGGGCGUAAAGCGCACGUAGGCGGACUGGAAAGUCAGAGGUGAAAUCCCUGGGCUCAACCCCGGAACUGCCUUUGAUACUGGGAGUCUUGAGUUCGAGAGAGGUGAGUGGAAUUGCGAGUGUAGAGGUGAAAUUCGUAGAUAUUCGGAGGAACACCAGUGGCGAAGGCGGCUCACUGGCUCGAUACUGACGCUGAGGUGCGAAAGCGUGGGGAGCAAACAGGAUUAGAUACCCGUGUAGUCCCUGUCUCUUAUAC
rnacentral:rRNA from 1 species